AGAGUUGAUCCUGGCUUAGAUGAACGCUGGCGGCGUGCUUAACACAUGCAAGUCGCGCGUGAAAGGACUUCGGUCCGAGUAAAGCGGCGCACGGGUGAGUAACGCGUGGAUGAUCUACCCAUGAGUUGGGAAUAACGGCUGGAAACGGUCGCUAAUACCGAAUACGCUCCGAUUUCAUCUUCGGGGGAAAGGUGGCCUCUGCUUGCAAGCUACUGCUCAUGGAUGAGUCCGCGUCCCAUUAGCUAGUUGGUGGGGUAACGGCCCACCAAGGCGACGAUGGGUAGCCGGUCUGAGAGGAUGACCGGCCACACUGGGACUGGAACACGGCCCAGACUCCUACGGGAGGCAGCAGUGGGGAAUAUUGCGCAAUGGGCGAAAGCCUGACGCAGCGACGCCGCGUGAGGGAUGAAGGUCCUCGGAUCGUAAACCUCUGUCAGGAGGGAAGAACCGCCACGGUGCUAAUCAGCCGUGGUCUGACGGUACCUCCAAAGGAAGCACCGGCUAACUCCGUGCCAGCCGCGGC
rnacentral:rRNA from 1 species